rnacentral:rRNA from 1 species
ACGCUCGACACCUACGGGGGGCAGCAGUGGGGAAUAUUGCACAAUGGGGGAAACCCUGAUGCAGCGACGCCGCGUGAGCGAAGAAGUAUUUCGGUAUGUAAAGCUCUAUCAGCAGGGAAGAAAGUGACGGUACCUGACUAAGAAGCCCCGGCUAACUACGUGCUAGCAGCGCGGUAAUCUGAGCGGGCUGGCAAGGC